rnacentral:rRNA from 1 species
CCUACGGGUGGCAGCAGUGGGGAAUAUUGCUCAAUGGAGGCAACUCUGAUGCAGCGACGCCGCGUGAGUGAAGACGGCUCUCUGUGCGUAAAGCUCUUUUAGCAGGGAAGAAAAUGCCGGUACCUGUAUAAGAAGCCCCGGCUAACUAGGUUCCGGCAGCCGCGGUAAUACGUAGGGGGCAAGCGUUAUCCGGAUUUACUGGGUGUAAAGGGGGCGUAGACGGCAGGACAAGUCUGUAGUGAAUUCCCGGGGCUUAACCCCGGAACUGCUUUGGAUACUGGGCGGCUAGAGUGCAGGAGGGGUAAGCGGAAUUCCUGGUGUAGCGGUGAAAUGCGUAGAUAUCAGGCGGAACACCGGUGGCGAAGGCGGCUUACUGGACUGUAACUGACGUUGAGGCUCGAAAGCGUGGGGAGCAAACAGGAUUAGAUACCCGAGUAGUC